CUCAGAUUGAACGCUGGCGGCAUGCCUUACACAUGCAAGUCGAACGGUAACAGGUCUUCGGAUGCUGACGAGUGGCGAACGGGUGAGUAAUACAUCGGAACGUGCCUAGUAGUGGGGGAUAACUACUCGAAAGAGUGGCUAAUACCGCAUGAGAUCUACGGAUGAAAGCAGGGGAUCGCAAGACCUUGUGCUACUAGAGCGGCCGAUGGCAGAUUAGGUAGUUGGUGGGAUAAAAGCUUACCAAGCCGACGAUCUGUAGCUGGUCUGAGAGGACGAUCAGCCACACUGGGACUGAGACACGGCCCAGACUCCUACGGGAGGCAGCAGUGGGGAAUUUUGGACAAUGGGCGCAAGCCUGAUCCAGCAAUGCCGCGUGCAGGAUGAAGGCCUUCGGGUUGUAAACUGCUUUUGUACGGAACGAAAAGCCCUGGGUUAAUACCCUGGGGUCAUGACGGUACCGUAAGAAUAAGCACCGGCUAACUACGUGCCAGCAGCCGCGGUAAUACGUAGGGUGCGAGCGUUAAUCGGAAUUACUGGGCGUAAAGCGUGCGCAGGCGGUUUUGUAAGACAGAGGUGAAAUCCCCGGGCUCAACCUGGGAACUGCCUUUGUGACUGCAAGGCUAGAGUACGGCAGAGGGGGAUGGAAUUCCGCGUGUAGCAGUGAAAUGCGUAGAUAUGCGGAGGAACACCGAUGGCGAAGGCAAUCCCCUGGGCCUGUACUGACG
rnacentral:rRNA from 1 species